AGUGCGUAAUAUCAUGCAAUAUGAAGCUUAUGCUCUCCUUCUUUUUCACUAUUAUCAAGCUUUGGCUAACUUAAUCAUCGGAAGAUCUCCGUCGGAGAACCCCUGACGAGUGUGAACUUUUUUUGCAGGUCCCUAUUGGUAUCUCAAUGCUUGGACUGUCGUCCGUCUUCGGCCAUAUCAGCAUGCUCUGGAGCUUUGAUGCAACAGUACCUAUGUUUGAUUCAAUUUUGUAACAAAAUGGGA
rnacentral:lncRNA from 1 species